GGGGUCAUGCCCCACCAACCGGACAGGAACAAGGAUUCCUGCCCUUAGGGUCCUGGGCUGGGGCCUGGAGCGAGGGCGGGUCCAGGCCCCCCUCCCACAC
ensembl:miRNA